AUACGAAGGGGGCUAGCGUUGUUCGGAAUUACUGGGCGUAAAGCGCGCGUAGGCGGACUGAUCAGUUGGGGGUGAAAUCCCAGGGCUUAACCCUGGAACUGCCUCCAAUACUGUCAGUCUUGAGUUCGGGAGAGGUGAGUGGAAUUCCUAGUGUAGAGGUGAAAUUCGUAGAUAUUAGGAAGAACACCAGUGGAGAAGGCGGCUCACUGGCCCGAUACUGACGCUGAGGCGCGAAAGCGUGGGGAGCAAACAGGAUUAGAAACCCUAGUAGUCC
rnacentral:rRNA from 1 species